UACGUAGGGACCGAGCGUUGUCCGGAUUCAUUGGGCGUAAAGAGCUCGUAGGCGGCCACUCAAGUCGAAUGUGAAACCUCGAGGCUUAACCUCGAGCCUGCAUUCGAUACUGGGCGGCUAGAGUCUGGUAGGGGGAUCUGGAAUUCCUGGUGUAGCGGUGGAAUGCGCAGAUAUCAGGAGGAACACCGGUGGCGAAGGCGGCAUCCUGGGUCUGACCUGACGCUGAGACGCGACAGCAUGGGGAGCGAACGGG
rnacentral:rRNA from 1 species